rnacentral:rRNA from 1 species
CCUACGGGGUGCAGCAGUGAGGAAUAUUGGUCAAUGGGCGCGAGCCUGAACCAGCCAAGUAGCGUGAAGGAUGACUGCCCUACGGGUUGUACACUUCUUUUAUAAAGGAAUAAAGUGAGGCACGUGGGCCUUUUUGUAUGUACUUUAUGAAUAAGGAUCGGCUAACUCCGUGCCAGCAGCCGCGGUGAUACGGAGGUUCCGAGCGUUAUCAGGAUUUAUUGGGUUUAAAGGGAGCGUAGAGGGGUUGUUAAGUCAGUUGUGAAAGUUUGCUGCUCAACCGUUAAAUUGCAAUUGAUACUGGCAGUCUUGAGUACAGUUGAGGUAGGCGGAAUUCGUGGUGUAGCGGUGAAAUGCUUAGAUAUCACGAAGAACUCCGAUUGCGAAGGCAGCUUACUAAACUGCCACUGACAUUGAUGCUCGAAAGUGUGGGUAUCAAACAGGAUUAGAUACCCCAGUAGUC